ACUCCUGCGGGAGGCAGCAGUGGGGAAUUUUGGACAAUGGGCGAAAGCCUGAUCCAGCCAUGCCGCGUGCAGGAUGAAGGCCUUCGGGUUGUAAACUGCUUUUGUACGGAACGAAACGGCCUUUUCUAAUAAAGAGGGCUAAUGACGGUACCGUAAGAAUAAGCACCGGCUAACUACGUGCCAGCAGCCGCGGUAAUACGUAGGGUGCAAGCGUUAAUCGGAAUUACUGGGCGUAAAGCGUGCGCAGGCGGUUAUGUAAGACAGUUGUGAAAUCCCCGGGCUCAACCUGGGAACUGCAUCUGUGACUGCAUAGCUAGAGUACGGUAGAGGGGGAUGGAAUUCCGCGUGUAGCAGUGAAAUGCGUAGAUAUGCGGAGGAACACCGAUGGCGAAGGCAAUCCCCUGGACCUGUACUGACGCUCAUGCACGAAAGCGUGGGGAGCAAACAGGAUUAGAUACCCCUGUAGUCC
rnacentral:rRNA from 1 species